UACGGAGGGUCCAAGCGUUAUCCGGAUUUAUUGGGUUUAAAGGGUCCGCAGGCGGGAAAAUAAGUCAGUGGUGAAAGCCUACAGCUUAACUGUAGAACUGCCAUUGAAACUGUUUUUCUUGAGUAUAGAUGAAGUGGGCGGAAUGUGUCAUGUAGCGGUGAAAUGCAUAGAUAUGACACAGAACACCGAUUGCGAAGGCAGCUCACUAAACUAUUACUGACGCUCAGGGACGAAAGCGUGGGGAGCGAACAGGAUUAGACUACCCCCGUA
rnacentral:rRNA from 1 species